ensembl:lncRNA
CCCCUCGGGCGCUCACCGCCCCCUCCGCGCGCGGGGCUCGGACCCGCGGAGCCGCGCACGGAUACCCCGGGGAGCAGCCGCUCCGCAGCCCCGCUCUGCACCCCGCCACUCCCUGCGCCCCGUCGGCUCCGUUCCACCGAACCCCCUCUCCUAGGGCAGAUAGAUAGCUCACACUGUCGGCGUCCUUCUCAUUGUGUUGGGCCAUUUGCGCUUGAGCGUCAAUAUUUGUCCUUAUUGAUUAAAGUUUGUAUCCAAUUUUAUUUUUAAAAGCGGGGGUGGUGGUGAUGGAAGGGUGGUGGAGGGAAGAGUGGGAGUGCAGGGAGAGGAUGCGAGCCGAGAGCUGGAAAUGGAGGAGGAAGAGGCCAGGCACUACUUUCUGAGUCGGCCCUGCAGGCCUGGCGCUGGCAUUUCUGAGCCCGCAGCAAAAUUGGGCCCCUUGUCUAAGGUGCGGUUCCAGCCGGAGCUGUGCGCCCAGGGCGCGGGAGGCCCAGCCCGGGCGUGUGUGCCGAGGGGCGCCCUAACCUUGGAGGAGGCGGUGGGGAGAGGUUUGGGCCUUUGGGAAGAGGAGGAGGAGGAGGAAGUGAGCGGGCCGCGCUGGGCCGAGCAGGGGUUACUUACUCGGUUCCUGGGCCCGGGAGGCGGCGAGCUCGGGCUGCAGCGCCGCGGGGAAGCCGGGCCCUGGGCUCCGGGGGCUGCGGCUGCGGGCAGGGGCGGCUCAGUGGUGGGCGCCUCUGAUGGCCUUCCGAAAUGAGAGGAGCCCAGAGAGAACACGGUAUCAAACAAUCUUGAAAUAAACCAGGUAACACAUGCUCUCUACGUGUGUCUCUUCCUUUCCUUUCUCUCUGGUUCCAAGACCUUCGCUCGCUCGUGGGGUGGCUCGGAGUGGUUUUCUCCUCGCGGUUGCAGAUUCUCCUCAGCUUCUAAUCAGAAUUGGAAGCGAGUCGUCGCAAACGAUCACCUUGGAAAUAUUUUCAUUUUGCUUGUUGACAUUGGAGGGAAAAUAAGAGUGGGCGUCUAUUUCUUUCCUUUUUUAAAAAAACCUGCCUAUAUGCAUUCCCUCUUCAUUCCUUCCAUUUCUCAAACGCUUUAUUAUGCAAGGACCUCAAUCCUAAAAUAUCAGUAAGCCAAAGUCAGCCCUUGCCCACCCUGCGUUCAGUGGUGCGCGAAGGCACGGAGGAGCCUUGGUAACAUGGAUCAUGGAUCGUGCAAUCCCAGCUUCCUGGGUAUUGGGACUGGGAAGGUUCAGUAGAAGGUUGAAGUGAGUGGGAAGAUUGUGAUUCGGGGGCUUUAAAAGGAUCCCGUGGCCAGGGGCAGGGCUAAGGCCCAGCAUUUCCCAGGGAUUGGAAUUUAGUGCGGAGCACACUGAUCAAAGGCUGUUUCAUCCCACAUGGGCAGGAAACAUACUACAUUUUACGGAGGAUGUAGCUCAAGAGAAGUAGGAGGUGGAGAAGCAUACAUGAAAAGCACCUUUUCUCUCCUCUGUAAGGCGCGCAGAGAGAGAAGGCGGCGUUCAGGGAGAGCGCUCCAUCGGCGAGUUUGGCUCCGCAGCGUCCGAACUCUGAAUCACCGCGGUGAAGAGGUUUUUUUUUUUUUUUUUUUUUUUUCCUCACCGAGCGUGAACUUGUUAGAUAAGACAGACGAGGCCACGAGAAAUGGAAACACAGAAAAAGCCCAAGAGCACAGCCUAUGAGGCUGACAGGCGGCGGCCCACGGUCUCGGAGGCACGGGCGAAGGCUGGUUCCGAGCGUGUCUGGUUGUAGCCUCCGCGCCGCCAGCCCGGCCACAGGCUCCCGUGGCUGCCCAGGCUGGGCUGUCUGCCUUUGGGCCCUGGCAUAAACUCCUCCAAAAGCGAGAGAAGGGCCCGCAACUAAGCUAAGAAUAUGCACACCCGCUCGCUCGCUCGGAACACAACACUGGGCCCCAAUCUUUUCCUCCAGGAAAUUCUAUGUCUGGACCAUAAAAUAAACGGUGUGUUGGAGAGGCUGGGUUUUAAGGAUGUCUGGAUUUACACAUGAAACAUUAUUUUCCUAAUUAAAACUGAUGGUGUGGUUUGUGGAGAUCAAUUAGCACUGGAUUUUGCUCCAGGAUUGCUCCCCGGGGCGAACAAAUGAAGCCAACUCCUCUCCAGCGAGUUUUUUCCGCCCAUGAGUGUAUCCAAGCCAGGACUGCUGAAGCAGUUCGAAAUCCCCAGCCUUGGUUUCAUUUGAUUUUGUUGUUGCUGUUAUUGAUAAAUAUUGGGUCAUACACAAGCCACUUGUCAGAGCCUUUGGCUUCAUCUCGCAGCUGCAGCUCCUAACGAGGCAUUUGAGUCGUGUCCUAGAAACUGGAAGGAUUCGAGGGGAAAGCAAAGACACGCUCUCUGCCCCUUAAAUUUUGGAGAUGGUCCCUUAAGAUUCUAGUCCUGUCUGCUGUCACGUUUAUUUCUUAAUUUGUUCCAAUACGUGAACCCUGGGUAGAUAUGUGUAACCCCCUUAAAAAAGACUAAAAAGAUCUUUAAAAAAAGAAGAGGAGACUCUUGAUCCCAGUCCUCUAGGUUUAUGUGAAACCAAAGGAGCACAUAGAUAGACAGAUAAUUGUUGUAAUUGCAGGGGGUGAGGGUGAGGUUGUAGGUAGGGCGUUUGGGGGUUGUGUAAUCGGAGUAAUAUGUACAGUUUUUCUUUCGGCGGCGCUGUAUAUAUUCUUUCCCUUGAUACAUGUUGCACAUGAACUGAACUCAUGGUCUGCUUGUCUUAGCAUGUUUGAAGCCCCAGACAUCUAACAGUAUCAUUACAGGAAAGAGACAAAGCCCCAAAGACUCCAGGCUGCCUUGGGAGUUCAUCUCGGCGUUGAACUUUUCCGGCCAGUUCACCCGCACGUUCAGACUCCCUUGCUGCGCAGAGUGCAGGUCUUCCCCGGGCUGAAGCGGGGGUGUGGGGGAAGAAACAGCUGAUUUUCGACAUUUCACAGGGACUCUUUCUAUUUAUCAGUGUUACCGAAGUGUACGUUACUGGAAAAACAACAAAACAAGCAUAGAGCUGCAAUUUUCCAGAAAAUAGGAUCCCCAAAUAUAAAAAUAAAAAGUAGCAGAUAAGAUGUAUAAUUCAAUCAAAUUACACAAAAUUGCUUGAAAAUCCAGAACAGUAGCAAUCCAUUAUGCCUCUGUUUUAUUAGUGACAAGCACAAUUACUCUAAAAUAAAGAACACUGGUGAAUAUAUAAUUGGCUGUAAUCAUGUUAGUGUUUGAAUAAAAAUGACGGGAACAUUUAACACUUUGACAACAAAAUGUUCAGAAAUAACUUAUUUAUUCAAACAGUUUUUAUUUUCCUCCAAGUGAAGGAGAAACACAGUUUGCUUAGGAAAAUCAAUGACUUUUCCCUUCAAUAAAUAAAUAUCCAAAAGGGGAAAAAACAGCCCCACACCUCUAUAUUAUCGCUAUUAUUAUUUUUAACCAGCAAGAAGCUUAAUCCUGGGCUUGAAGUCAGCUUCUCCCAGCGGCGGUUCGGCACCAAAGUCUGCCCCCUAGAGGAGGAACUCGGAAGCUCAUCACGGCGCCAACCCCUUUUCCCGCGGUGACCUCGGGAAUUAAAGUUAAUAUUCCUUUGCAAAUUGCUCUCCAAACUGACUCCCCCACCUCACCCCCUCAUAUCCCCUUCCGCCCUACAACAGCGUCACAAUAUUUUCUUAGUAAUUGCUGUGCGCUGCUGACAAAAGCGCCGAGUCUCCGGUAGCGCGUUGCUCCGCCUGGAAAGCGCGAGGGCGCCCUGGGGAAGCCGGCCAGGGGAGUCCCGGUCCUGCGGACCAUCCCCGCUCAUCCGCUGCGCUCCAGGGCAGCCUGAAGUCGGUUCCCGGAGUGACGGCCGGCGACUCGGACACCGCGUUCCUGUGCUGCCUUUUGCGGGCUUCCUUAGAGAAAACAGUCCUGGUACGGCUGCCGGGCAGUCAGUACCUUAAGGGCUUUCCCUAGCGCACAUCUCCCCCAAGAAAAAGCCAUUAUCUAAUUAGAUCCCGGAGCCCAGUGGUUCCCUUCAUUGUCCCAGAUGGGUAUGCUGGAAAUACUGACUUAAAGAUAUUAAGGAGGAGGCCCUGCUUGCUCAAGCUCCCUGCCCCCAGGAGAGACCCAUCCGGAAGAAAUCCCUGAUUUUCACACUGGGUCCUGGAGUGCCUAGAAACUUCGGCGGGGCGCGUAGUCCCGGGACCCGAGGGACUAGGAACCUUUUCGCAUUGUAGUUCUGGUGGACCCCAUCGGUCCUUUAGGCAGAGGAAAGCCAACCUCACUUACUGAAACCAGCGCUGGGAGAUGGUGAAUGUGGCCACGGAAAGAGAAAUAACUGCUUCUGUGAGCUCCAGGCUCCCUUCAGACCCCUUCUCAGAUGGACCCAGAGCCCCGCCAGUUCCCAGGUCGUCCUCCCUGCCCCGCUUGAUCAGAAUUUUAUUUUAUUUGUUUAAAGGUAGAAGAACACAGUUCAAGUUGAAGUUCUGUUAGAAAGGCCAGGAAAGAGCAAGCGAAUUGAAGUCGCCGUGGAAAAGGCGAUGUGUGAAAUCAUCAGACUUAAAUUGGCUUUUAAUUCUUCUGUGUGGGUGUGUUUUGCCCCCCGAACCCCUCUCUCAGCUCUUCCCUUCUCUCCUCUUCUUUCCGUCCUUCCUCCUUUCUUUCCUUCCUUCCUUCGUUUUCUUCGACUUCUAAGUCCUCCUGCCCCGCAGCUUCCUAAGUGCAAGCAAAAGGAAAUAGUGGGUGUGCUGGAAGCCACCGUUGGUACCCAGAGUCUCUUGGACACCCUGUCCUGGCCCCUUGGUAGUCUCCUCGGUGGUGGAGUUGGAAUGAAACACCUGGGAGCUGUUUCUUCUUCCCCUCCCUCUCGAAGAGGACGUCUGGAUCGUGGACCGAGGAGCUAUUUCCCACGCCCAGCUUGUGAGAUCACUUCAGGAUUCCCUCCUGGCCACUUCUGUGAUGUUCUCAGCCCCAGCCUUCUGAAGAAAACUCCAUUGGGUUUACUUUUCUGUUGGAGGGAUGCUCUGGAGGAAGCACUAACUGGAACUUAGAUGGCAGCCUUUUGUCAGGCCUUCCUACUCCCUCAAAAGGGACAAUCUUUGAAAAAAAAUGAAUUGUACUCGAAACAUCAUUGUUAGUGAUCGUGGAAGCCCACAUUUUGGAGUUGGAGGGAAUCUAAGAUAUCAUGUAAUUCAGCACCUCUGGAGAAAUAUCUGAAUCAAAGCGUCCUGGAAACUGACUACAGAUAAGAAAACUGAAGCCAUGAUCUAAAUCACCUGAGCAAGGUCAUAUACCCGCUGAAGAAAAGGCAAGAAGACAGGAAACUGCUGGCUAAGAAAAAGAAUGUUCAAGAAAACUCACAGUGCAAGCUUUCACAGAAACCUUCACAGAGCUCACCAAUCUUUUUAAAAUUUGAAAAUAUGAAUCAUCAUGCCAAAACAUUUAAUAGGGAGAAAUGCAUAUGGUGCAUUAUCUGCUUACAAGCAAAUCUGUGAUGAGAAAAGAAACAAACCAAACAAGACACCAUAGGUACAUUUUUGAAAAUAGUGACACCUGUUGAAGAAGAGCUUCAGGCAAAUCCUUCCUCAAGAUUUCCAGAGGAAGGCGCUGUCAUUCCAGUAGGUGACAGCUCCAUGUGUGCUACUGCCACUGAAGACCUUCCAGUGGGACACAGCGAGGAUGGAUAAGACAGUGACACUGAUAAUCCUGACCCUCUGAAGGUCCAGCUAGGAGGUGUCUUUCUAUCUCAGUUUAUAACAAAACAAUUUAAAAAUAAACAAAAACUUUAAAAUAACAACAUAAACCAAAAAGUUUUGGAUAGCUAUUGAAUGUGUUUGCACUUUAGACUAAAUGUUCUUUUAAAAGCCAAGUUGUUAAAAAUGUUAAAAAGCUUAUAAGUAAAAAGAUUACAGUAAGCUAUGGUUAUUAAAAAAUUAAUUGAGCAUAGCCAUGUUACGAUGAUUGUGAAGUCUACAGUAAUGUGCAGUAAGACCCUCAGCCUUUGUGUUCACCCAAACCCUCUGCCUGGUUCAUCCAAAGCAACUGCCAGUCUUUCAAGCUCUGUUUAUAGUAAGUGCCCUAAAUAGGUGUUAUGUACCAUGUUUUUACUGUGCCUGUUGUAUGUUUAGAUACACAAAUACCAUUGCAUUACAAUUAACUACGCUAUUCAGUAGGGUAACAUGCCGUACAGUUUUAUAGCUUAGAAGACAUAGGCAAACCAUACAGUCUAGGCUUUGUCAUCUAGGUUUAUUAUAGGGGUCAUACAGUGAAAAAGUCCCUUGGGGUUGCAUUUUUCAGAAUGAAUCUAUAUCCUUAAGUGAUAGCACAUGCCUAAAUACUCUUUCAAAGAGGUAAGCUAUGACUUCGUGAAAUAAAUACAACUUGGAGAUAUAUAGGCAUGUUAGAUUUUAAAGUAACUCAUAAAGUUACAUUUGUGCUUCCUCAAACUGUUCAAAAUGGUAAUUUUAAACCUAUGGAUAUCCUAGACAGCCUCCUAAAUGCACAAGGACUGAUAAAAAUAUGAUGAAUGUUUAAAUUUUUAAAAAAAUUCUUACAGUAAAAGAACAAUGCUGUUAAUCUCUCUGAACACUUCCCACCUUUGAACACACUUAUCCCAUCAUUCUUGCCAAGUUCUGAAACAAAUCUGGAAGUCCUCUUUUGUGAAUACCUCUACAAGUGUUCAUUAACAAAAUAGGUUGAAUGCUGCUGCUGAGUGUCAUCCAGCAGAAAGGCCGACUUGUAAAAACACAAGGGUGUGUUCUCAUUCACUAGAUAUGGUAUCAUCUGACCUCUGGCUAUUUUAACUUUUUCCCAACAUCAAAAUGAUAAGGAAAGGUGAGCAUAUGAAUCAGUUCAGGACACUGAGGCCUCAUGAUAUGCAACUAAAGACACUCACAAAAGAGGACUGCAGGAACUGCUUCAGAACUUGAGAAUAAAAACUGAAUAAAUGUGUUGGAAGAAAGAGGGAGUAUUUUGAGGGAGAUUAAUGGCAAUGUGUCCUUUAUGUAAUACAGUUAAAAUUUUAAACUUUCACCUUAUCUUUUGAACAGACUUCAUAGUUUAUAAAAAGAGGUCUUUUUGAAACUUCUUUCAUAAGCCCUAUAACUCAUUUUCACUCCCAAUUGCUUUAUGGGGCAGUAGUAGAGUAUUUCUUCUACAGUCUUUGUCUGAGGUUUUAUCUUUUCUCACAUUUACUUUACUUGUGCUGAGUCAUUUCUUGGGAUCACAGAGUGAGAAAGGCUUUAAAAGCUAUCUGGCUUUGAAAUAGCUCAUCACAGAUUUAAAGAUUUUGCAAAAUGACUCCUAAUUAAUACCUGAAAACAUAUGCAUACUUCAGUAGCUGAAAAGCCUCAGGACCAGUAUUUGGUAGAAAGGUCUCGAACAUUAGAAGGCCCAAAUCCUAGGACUUCAUUCUACUGUUCAGUAACUGAUAUUGAACUUUCCAUUCCAGCAUCUCUCAUGUUCCUUCUAUCUCAAAUACAGUUUAGAUAGGGCACAGAGCCAUGUGCCUAUUGUCCCACCUGCUCAGGAGGCUGAACAAGGACAAUCAGUUGAGCCCAGGAGUUUGAGAACAGCCAGUGCAAUAUAGUGGUAAAUCAUUUAAAACUGCAGUUCAAUACAGUUGUCAGGUCUAGUUCUAAACUUUAUUCUCAAGAAAAAGUGAAAUGUAAAUGAUGGAAGCUUAUAACUAGCAAAUGUAAGGUUCUAAUUUUAUUUCUGAAUUUGAUUUAUGUUGGGACUUUGAACACACAUGAACUCUCCAAAAGAUGACCAUAUUUAUUGUCACCGACUCCUCCACUAAUUUUAAAUUCCAUAUAUUCUUCAAGGGUGAUGAAUUAAUUUUUAAUAUUAUACUGCUCUUUAAAUAUUCACAAUAAAUUUACCAGAACAUGUUUUCAACUUAAAAAUUGUACCUACAUGAUACAGUGUCUAAAACUUUUCAUGCAUUUUAAUAAAAAUGAGUCAUAUGGUUUUUUAUUAGGUUUUGCUAUAAAUCCACACAUCAACUUGAAAGACAUAGUUCUAAUGCAGCAGCUGCACAUUUUCUUCACAGUUUAUUGUAAUGUCAUUAGUCAUUGUUAGUUCUAUUAGUCAGAAGUUUCACAUCUAUAAUGAGACUCACUUGUGGUAGUCAGUUUUGGUAAUUAUUUUUUUUAAAUGUUGACACACAAUUUAGUGUGUUGAAAUUCAGCUUUAUUCACAGAUAUUUCUUUCUGUUCUCUUGCAAAUCAACAUGGUAGUUUCAAAAUAACAGUGCCUUUCUACAUUUUAAGCCUUUUAGAUGUGUCAUCAUAUUAAUUUUUUGCCCUUUAUUAUUUCCAUUAAUUAAUUUUGCCCUUUAACUUUUACUGAUCAAUGUGGACUAAUUUGUAAUCUCAACAUUUCUAUGAAAUAAUACAAAAUUAAGACUGAUCAUGUCAUGCUGUGAGUUAGUGAGGGAUAUUAACAUUAUGAACACAGUAUGUUGAUUUAAAACCAGAAAGAUUUCAAACCAGUGUUUGAUUUAUGCUUAAACUCAAAUUAUGAAGAAUUUUGAAUAUUACAUUAUGGUUCAAAUUUCCUUACUUAGUACAUUUUUGGUGGUUUGAAAAUGAUGGAGCUUUACAUUAUACCACUCUACUAUUAUUAGGAAGUUAAAAUAUGCAAUGAGGUAAGGAAGGUAUUAAAUAUGUCAUUCAGUCUAUAUUAAUUUAUAUAAAUGGAAGACUUACUAAUUUUAAUAUAGAUUGGCUAUAUGGUUGGUUAUUCACUCAUCAAUUGAAUAUAUAAUUAUUAACCACUUUGCACCAGAUACUGUACCAGGUGAGAAGAGUAAACUGAUUCAUAAAAUUUAGACUCUACUCCAUUGGUACUGAAUUCAUCAGAAGAGAUGAACACAGUCAUUCAUGUAUCAUAAGUCAGAGACUUUCAGAGGCAUGGCUGGGUACUGUGGAAGUACAGAGAAAAGCUCCUCUUGUCAGAUUUUGAAAAAGCUUUCCUGGAAGAUAUGUCAUUUUAGCUCUGUCUUCAAAGACUGUUUAAAAAACUAAUUUAAUACAUGGAAAUGUAACAAUCAAAUUGCAUAAAAGAGCUAGUGAUAAAAUUAACAGAAGCAUUUCUCUUCAACAGCAGUCUUGCUUCCUGGAGGACAAUUGUCUUAAAUAUUUUUUUUUUUUUUUUUUGGUACCUAGGAUCGAACUUGGGUCCUUGUGCUUGCGCAGCAGGCAGCAAAACCACUGAGCUAAAUCCCCGGCCCUUAAAUAUUUUUGUUUGUAUCAUUUUGGUCCUUCCACCAUAAUAUCUCACUAUGUGAUUGUACUAUCUUUGAAUGUCCUAGUGUUGUUUAUCAUUGUAUUAGUUCAACAGGUUACUUUUGUUACUCUAAACAUAUCCUGAUAUGUUAUUAUGGUAUGAGCUUACCAUCUGUACAUUUUUCCACCUUGUAACUCCGUGAUGUUUUACCACUUGUCAAGUAUGUUAAUAUUUUUAUUUUGUUAAUGCUAUUACCAUUUGUAAUUUGAUAUGAAACAGCACUCAAAUCCUUUAUUCUUUCUC